UACGUAGGGGGCAAGCGUUGUCCGGAUUUAUUGGGCGUAAAGAGCGUGUAGGCGGCCGUACAGGUCAGCUGUGAAAACUCGAGGCUCAACCUCGAGACGUCGGUUGAAACCGUACGGCUAGAGUCCGGAAGAGGAGAGUGGAAUUCCCGGUGUAGCGGUGAAAUACGCAGAUAUCGGGAAGAACACCCGUGGCGAAGGCGGCUCUCUGGGACGGUACUGACGCUGAGACGCGAAAGCGUGGGGAGCGAACAGG
rnacentral:rRNA from 1 species